UUCCGGUUGAUCCUGCCGGAGGCUACUGCUAUCGGAGUCCGAUUUAGCCAUGCUAGUCCACCGAGCCUUGCUCGGGGCGGAUAGCUGAGUAACACGUGGCUAACCUACCCUGUGGAUGGGGAUAACCUCGCUAACGUGAGGCUAAUACCCAAUAGUAGAUGGUUGCUGGAAAGCGCCGUCUGUGAAAUGUUCCGACGCCAUAGGAUGGAGCCGCGGCUGAUUAGGUGGUUGGUGAGGUAACGGCUCACCAAGCCAGUAAUCAGUAGCAGCCGUGAGAGCGGGAGCUGCCAGUUGGCUUCUGAGACAAGAAGCCAGACCCUACGGGGUGCAGCAGGCACGAAACCUUCACAAUGCACGAGAGUGCGAUGGGGGGACUCCGAGUGUAAUCUUCCCACAAGGAAGGUUACUUUUCUGCACUGUAAGGAGGUGCCGGAACAAGGGGUGGGCAAUACUGCUGCCAGCCGCCGCGGU
rnacentral:rRNA from 1 species